GAUGAACGCUGGCGGCGUGCCUAAUACAUGCAAGUCGAGCGAAUGGAUUAAGAGCUUGCUCUUAUGAAGUUAGCGGCGGACGGGUGAGUAACACGUGGGUAACCUGCCCAUAAGAUUGGGAUAACUCCGGGAAACCGGGGCUAAUACCGGAUAACAUUUUGAACCGCUGGGUUCGAAAUUGAAAGGCGGCUUCGGCUGUAACUUAUGGAUGGACCCGCGUCGCAUUAGCUAGUUGGUGAGGUAACGGCUCACGAAGGCAACGAUGCGUCGCCGACCUGAGAGGGUGAUCGGCCACACUGGGACUGAGACACGGCCCAGACUCCUACGGGAGGCAGCAGUAGGGAAUCUUCCGCAAUGGACGAAAGUCUGACGGAGCAACGCCGCGUGAGUGAUGAAGGCUUUCGGGUCGUAAAACUCUGUUGUUAGGGAAGAACAAGUGCUAGUUGAAUAAGCUGGCACCUUGACGGUACCUAACCAGAAAGCCACGGCUAACUACGUGCCAGCCGCCGCAGUAA
rnacentral:rRNA from 1 species